rnacentral:rRNA from 1 species
GACGAACGCUGGCGGCGUGCCUAAUACAUGCAAGUAGAACGCACAGUUUAUACCGUAGCUUGCUACACCAUAGACUGUGAGUUGCGAACGGGUGAGUAACGCGUAGGUAACCUGCCUGGUAGCGGGGGAUAACUAUUGGAAACGAUAGCUAAUACCGCAUAAUAUUAAUUAUUGCAUGAUAAUUAAUUGAAAGGUGCAAUUGCACCACUACCAGAUGGACCUGCGUUGUAUUAGCUAGUAGGUGAGGUAACGGCUCACCUAGGCGACGAUACAUAGCCGACAGGAGAGGGUGAGCGGCCACACUGGGACUGAGACACGGCCCAGACUCCUACGGGAGGCAGCAGUAGGGAAUCUUCGGCAAUGGACGAAAGUCUGACCGAGCAACGCCGCGUGAGGGAAGAAGGUUUUCGGAUCGUAAAGCUCUGUUGUAAGAGAAGAACGGGUGUGAGAGUGGAAAGUUCACACUGUGACGGUAUCUUACCAGAAAGGGACGGCUAACUACGUG